rnacentral:tRNA from 1 species
GGGAGAUGGCUCAAUGGUUAAGAGCACUGAUUGGUCUUCCAAGUGGCCUGGGUUCAAUUCCCAGCACCCA